AUUGAACGCUGGCGGCAUGCUUUACACAUGCAAGUCGAACGGCAGCGCGGGCUUCGGCCUGGCGGCGAGUGGCGAACGGGUGAGUAAUGCAUCGGAACGUGCCCAGUAGUGGGGGAUAGCCCGGCGAAAGCCGGAUUAAUACCGCAUACGACCUGAGGGUGAAAGCGGGGGACCGAAAGGCCUCGCGCUAUUGGAGCGGCCGAUGUCGGAUUAGCUAGUUGGUGGGGUAAAGGCUUACCAAGGCGACGAUCCGUAGCUGGUCUGAGAGGACGACCAGCCACACUGGGACUGAGACACGGCCCAGACUCCUACGGGAGGCAGCAGUGGGGAAUUUUGGACAAUGGGGGCAACCCUGAUCCAGCCAUGCCGCGUGCGGGAAGAAGGCCUACGGGUUGUAAACCGCUUUUGUUCGGGAAGAAAUCCUCUGGGCUAAUACCCCGGGGGGAUGACGGUACCGGAAGAAUAAGCACCGGCUAACUACGUG
rnacentral:rRNA from 1 species